GCAUCCCCCUUUCCACAUGGCAAGAGGUAGUGGUGAUUUGUCUUCAAGAGCGAAGAACGAGAAGAAGAAGAAGAAGGUCGCAAAUUAAGAAGUUGUCUUGCAGUCCAGAUCAAGGUGUUGAUCUAAAUUUUGAGGCUCAAAUUCUACUUGGAGAAGAAGAAUCAACAAUGAGGAGAUCAGUUUGAGAUUGAUCUCGAUGAAUAUCCAUAA
rnacentral:lncRNA from 1 species